CUCAUUUUGAUCUUUAAUCUAAAGUAAAGAAAAAAAAACCACAUUAUUGAUUAAAAAAUUUCCUAAACAAAUAAUCACGUAAAUUAAAUAUUUAAAAUUGAAAAGUAUUGAAUGACAUAUGCAGGACACGGAAUGACUGUACAAUGAUAAGACGAUAAUGUAUUUUUAUUGCUUUGCAAAUGGGUUAAACGAACACGAUGUGGGAAAACAUUCCUACGUCAAGUCACAAGUGGGAAAUUUUCUCCCGUGGAUCCAUAAAGUUAUUUUAUUUCUUGGAACUUGCAGCCAUUUCACAUGUUGCGUAGUUCGUCUUUCAAAAAGAAAAAAAAAGUAAGGGUCGCUUUUACUGUUUAUAAAAGAUGUAUUUUUAGAAUAUUUGUUUCUUUUAAAGUAAAUUUUACUGCAGAUGUAAAUUCUA